GGGGAAUAUUGCGCAAUGGACGCAAGUCUGACGCAGCGACGCCGCGUGUGGGAUGACGGUCUUCGGAUUGUAAACCACUGUCGGGAGGGACGAAUACGCCGCAAGGCGGGUGACGGUACCUCCAAAGGAAGCACCGGCUAACUCCGUGCCAGCAGCCGCGGUAAUACGGAGGGUGCGAGCGUUGUCCGGAAUCACUGGGCGUAAAGGGCGCGUAGGCGGCCUGAUAAGUAGGGGGUGAAAUCCUGCGGCUUAACCGCAGGGCUGCCUUCUAAACUGUCAGGCUUGAGCUCACUAGAGGCAGAUGGAAUUCCGGGUGUAGCGGUGGAAUGCGUAGAGAUCCGGAAGAACACCGGUGGCGAAGGCGGUCUGCUGGGGUGAUGCUGACACUGAUGCGCGACAGCGUGGGGAGCAAACAGGAUUAGAUACCCUGGUAGUCCACGC
rnacentral:rRNA from 1 species